GUAGGGAGCAAGCGUUAUCCGGAAUUAUUGGGUGUAAAGGGUGCGUAGACGGGGAAUCAAGUUAGUUGUGAAAUCCCUUGGCUUAACUGAGGAACUGCAACUAAAACUAAUUUUCUUGAGUGCUGGAGAGGAAAGUGGAACUCCUAGUGUAGCGGUGAAAUGCGUAGAUAUUAGGAAGAACACCAGUGGCGAAGGCGACUUUCUGGACAGUAACUGACGUUGAGGCACGAAAGUGUGGGGAGCAAACAGGAUUAGAUACCCUGGUAGUCCACACCGUAAACGAUGGAUACUAGGUGUAGGGUGUGAUAAACAUUCUGUGCCGUCGCAAACGCAAUAAGUAUCCCACCUGGGGAGUACGGCCGCAAGGUUG
rnacentral:rRNA from 1 species